UUUGCCAGCCCCAGCCGCGCCUCCACAGCUUUCCUGCAGCCAGACAGAAACAGAGUUAAUUCCUCCCUCUGUCCAGCUUGCCUGCAGCCAGGGUGGGGAUAAUUCCACAUCUGUCUGGAGCACGAGAGAGAGGCAAGACCUGCGCCAGUGAACCCAGAGCUAAGACCUGCAGGACCAGACUAAGAGACUUGCAAAGGGAAGAUGGAGAAGGGCUGUGAUGCUGAAAUCACAUCCACAUUUACGCUGCUGCAGGGCCAUACUGGUUUCAAAGAUUGUAGUGGUGGCACAGACACUGACCUGUGUAUACCUUGCUUGAGUACUAAAUAAUAUAACCACUGAUCAAUGAAUAUACAACUCAUAUGCAGGCUUUGCUAAAAGCAUUGAUCAAAGUAGACCUCACCAAAGACUGACCUCACUAAGGUGCCUGUGGGAGUAAACUUGACAAACAAUAAAGUGCUAAAGUUGAUUGCUAGGGUGUUAGAGUUGUUUGUUACAAUUAAUUAUUACAGCUGCUGCCAAGGAGGCUAAAAUAAACCUGCUCGUAACAAAGUCUAAGAAUUAAGGUAAUUUGGUAUAUAGGUGCAAAUGUUUGUUAUGUAAAUGCCUGAUGUAAACAGAACGGCUUACUUCAUGUAUAAGAGAAAGCCUGGACAUUUUUUAACUUUGCACUAAGCCUGUGCCUUAUCACCAACAUCCAAGGCUAAUGUCUUGUAACCCUUUGGACAGAUGUGUUAGCAAGUAGGUGAUUUAUAGGUAAUAAAGCUGGCUAAGAUUUUGCCCCUAAA